rnacentral:lncRNA from 1 species
CCCAUUUUCUAGAUAAGAGUGAUGCCGUCUUCUUUCCUUGUGAGUUUUUGAAAACAUGAAAAUAAAAGGUAAUUGCAGUGGUAGCCAAAUGGUUUGAUCUUCCAUGUAUAUUUGGAGAUUGUAUACCCGAAAAAUUGGAUAGAGUUAAAUUUGUAUAUGAUUCUAAGGAUACGUGAUAUAACUUGGUACAAAUCGCAGAGUGAAAUAGAAAUAUAUAUAUUUUUUGACAGAUGGAAUGAAACAUAAGGCAGAGAAAAAGGAAAUGUUGAUGAACAAGGCAAAGUAAAUGAGCCCAAAAGUGUUGAUCUCUCAGAAGUUGUCUUUUUUUUUACCAUGUAUCUCUAUGCUUACAAGAAUUCCCCCAUUUAUAGUAGAGGGAUCCUACUUUAUCUAUAUAAAAAAUAUAUAGUGGAGAACCCAUGAUAAAUUAUUUUUUUCUCGAUUCCUGCCAAAAUUCUCUCCCCUAGUGCGGUUGCAACGGCUCUUGUCUGUGAGCUCAAUACCGGCUCGAGCUCGGUAUUGGAUCGAGCCCUCGGCCUUGGUUCGAUCUCGACUCUGACUCGGAGUCUCGAUAUUCGGGGUGAGUUUUGGUCGGUCUAUGCAUCUUCGAUAAUCUCCGCUUUGCCUCGUAGUUCGAUUUGGAUAUGAGCUCGAUAAUGAUACCGAGCUUGUCGUUGAUUGGUCUUGGAGCUCGAAGCUCGACGCCCUUACUCCGGACCUCGACCCGUCGUCAUGCAGAUACCCUUUGAUCGAAGUAUUAUCACCUCGACCAGUCCGUACGACUGACUUAAUCGGUUUUGACCGUACACAGAGAUCAUAUUGGUAAUCUGGAUUUGGUGCAAAAUAAGAAAGGGGUAUAUAUCUCCAAUUUGUAGUAGGGGAUCUUGGUUUCGUAGAAAUAAAAAAGAAAAAGAAGGGUACAAGAAACACCAUAGAAUACCAUGCAUGUUUUAGUAACUCAAAGUUGCAUUUAAGGUAUAUCCCUAUAUAAUCCUUUGUUAAAAAGUUCAGUCUAUAUUUAGAAAUAUUUUAGCAAAUGUUUUAAAAAAUAUAUAUAAACUACUCACUGCUGAAAUUAGAAUUUCUCAAUAAGGCCUAAUUUACUAUAUGCACCACAAUGUAGACAUUGAUAGCCCCACCUGAUCCUUUGAGUGCUUAUAGUCAUACCCAACUCAAACACAUGAGAUGCAUAAUUUAACAGAAAUAACCCUAAGAAAAUAUAUGCAAAGUAAAUUUAAGAAACAGAAGUAUCUUGAGUUCUUCUUCCACUCACAUGUUGCCUUUGAUGACAAAGGAGUCGUAGAGAAUACAUCUCAUUGCUUCUGAAAGUAUCAAAUCCAUAUGGUGGUGAGAUAAUUUGUUUGAGAUAUUCUCUCUAUACAAGAAGGCUUUACCUCUAAAAUCUGGGAAACUAAAAAGCAAAAGUCUCGUCGUUUCAUUGUGACUUAUAAAUCUUCAAAUUUAAUAUGAAUUGAACAAAAAAAAAUUGAUUAGGGGAAGAAUGAGAAAAAAGGAACAAACAGAAUACCCGAACACACUUAAUUGUCCCCUUAAAAUUCUUCUAGUCUCAGUUUUCGGCUGAUUUAUGGAUGGAAAAUAAUUAAUGAAUAGACAGUUAAAAUUAAGCACUACCAAAAUAUGAUGAAAUGUUCAUAACAAGGUGCUUCUUCGCUAGAGAAUUCUUACCAGCAAUUCACUUCUCCUCGACAGUCUUCACUGUAUUGCUAACUGAAUGGCAUGUAUUGGCAUUGCAAGGUUUAGUACUAUAAGAAGUUUAGUGAAGGCCAACAUAUUAAUCACAAUUUUGCUUCUUCAACGCUUUCGAACCUUUCUUCUCGGACUUGUUCGAUGCAUUGGGGGUUUUCAAUUAUGCUGAGAGAGAUUCAAGAUAAUUCUAAGCGGGAAAACAAAGAAAUCGUUAACUCGUUAACUCUGCCUGGAGGGCUUUCUAUUGUAUACAGGGAAACUAAACAACAACAACAACAACAACCCAGUAACCCAGUACAAUCCCACUAGUGAGGUCUGGGGAGGAUAGUGUGUACGCAGACCUUACCUCUACCAUAAGGUAGAGAGGCUGUUUCCAAAUGACUUUCGGCAUCCUUUCCUCCAAGAACUCCCCACCUUGCUCUUGAGGUGACUCAAACUCACAACCUUUUGGUUGAAAGUGAAAGUUGCGUACCAUCAGAGCAACCCCUCUUGCCAUACAGGAAACUAAAAAAACCAAUAAAACAAAAAAGAGAAGAUUGUUCAAGAAGAAGCAAGAGAUAGAGUUAGCUAAGGAAAAAAGGGGGUGUAUUUAAGAAUGCCAACGGAAGUGUCUUUUGAGUUAUCUAACUGAAAACGUAAGCCGUCCAUUCGGGACAACCGAUAAGAAAAACUGAAUAUAUAAGCGACGGAUGAGUGUUCUUUUUAAAAUCGAAGAGAUGAUUUAAAAAAAUUUAAAAGCGCAAAAAAAUGAGGAAAAAGAUAAAUAGUCAUUCUAUUCAAAGAGAAGUACCACCUCACUUGUCUAUGCCCCUGCUUUAUAUAGAAAUAUAGAUUAGGUUUUCCAAUUUCAUGUAUCAUGGAAUACUUUUGUGUGAACUGUUUAUAAUAUUUUCCUACAAAUACUUGGUUUGACUCUUUCACAACAUUAGUUUUGUUUUAUUUUGAUUUUUUAUCAUAGAAGUAUCAUAAGAAGAUAUUAUUUCAAAUGAUUUAAUAUGAAUAAAAUAAAAUUAUUAUAUUGACCUCUGAUAUUUUGUAGAUACGGGUCCUUACUCUAUAUUACUUUUCUUUACACUACCUAUGUAUUUUUAACUAUACUUAUUUUAAACAAACAAAUGAAAACACAAAAAAAAUGAUCCGCAGAUGAGUUCAUAAGUUGCUUCAGACAAACAAUUUCACUUUUUAACAAACAGAUUUAUUGGCAUUCAAAAUAAUGUAAAAUAACUUAAUAUCAUAAAUAAAAGCAAUAGGAAAUGAUUCUGAAUAAUAAAGCUUCUAUUAUUAAGUAAAUCAAAUAGUCAACCCCGGGCCCGCACCCUGAAACCCGAUAAAACUCACAAAUUCCAAACAUCAAUUCCGAUAUGUGUCCAACGAUACCAAUAUUAUCCAAUUCCAACCUCAAAUCGGCCUUCAAAUCAUCAAUUUAUAUUCUAGAAAAGUUUUUACUAAAACUCCAAAUUUUUACAACAAAAUUCAUCAAUCAAAUGCUAAAAUCGAGAUUGAAAUUAUGAAAUAAUAAAAAAUCCGAGUUUAAAACAACUACCCCAAUCAAAAUCAUUAAAAUUCCCUCCAAAAUGGCCCAAAACCGAUCUCUCUAACCCAAAAUGUGAUAAAUGAAACCACACCCCUCGUUAAAGAUAUUUCUGCCCACGGAUAACGCAUCUGUGGUCCAUGCCAUCACACAUGUGGUAUCGCAUAUGUGAAAAUUCCAUCGCAGAUGCGAAAUUUACUAAUCUGCCGACUAUUCGCUUCUGCAAAACCCAAGCCGCUUCUGCGAAAACCCCCUUGCAGAUGCGAAACACCCAACUCCAACCAAUGUCCGCUUAUGUGCCCUCUUGUCCACACAUGCGGUCUCGCGAAUGUGGAAAUAACCUCGCAUCUGCGCACCCAUCCAGACUCCAUCCAGCAUCGUAUUUGCGACCACCAUGGCCGAUUCUGCAGUCACGCACCUACGACCUUUCCUUCGUAGGUGCGAAAAUACUAGAAACCAGACACCUUCAGCAAUUUAAUCAAGUCCAAGGAUGAUUUGAAAACAAUCCAAAACAUACCCGAGGCCCCCAGGACCCCGUCCGAGCAAACCAACAAGUCCUAAAAUACAACACGAACCAACUCGAGGCCUCACAUCAUACCAAACAACAUCAAAGCGAUGAAUCACACCUUAAUUCAAGUCUAAGUAAACUAAUAAACUUCCAACUUACAAAACUCAUGCCGAACCACCUCAAAUCAACUUGGAAAGACCUCAAAUUUUGCAUGCAAGUCCCAAAUGAUACUACAAGCCUAGACAAACUCCUGGAACCACAAUCCGAACCCAAUAUCAACAAAGUCAACUCUCGGUCAAACUAUCAACCUUCCAAGCCUUCAACAUCCCAACUUCCGCCCAAAAGUGCCAAACCAACAUACAGACCUCCAAAUUCAAAUCCGUACAUACGCAUAAGUCCAAAAUCACCAUACGAAGCUAUUGGCUUUAUCAAAACUCCAUUUCGGGGGUCGUCUACCUAUAAGUCAAACUCCGAUCAACUCUUACAACUUAAGCCUUCAAUCAAGAGACUAAGUGUCCCAAAUUAAUCCAAAACUCUCGCUAAACCACACCAAUCAACCCCUCUAAGUCACGUAACCAUAAAUACACAUAUACAAAGCAUCAAAUAGGAUAAACGAGGCUAAAAUAUUCAAAAUAGUCAUUACAAGUUAACCUCUCCACUGAACCUUUACCGAGGCAAUAUUCUUCGACCUCAGCUUUCGAGCCUGCCUACCUAUCCAAAUUGUUCAUCGGCUCCUCAACAUAAGUCAAAUCAUUGUCCAACUUCACCAAGCUGAAAUCCAACACAUUUGUCAGAUCAACAUAGUACAUUCAAAGCAUGAAAACAUGAAACACCGGAUGAACUCUGGAUAAGCUGGGUGUGAAAGAAAAUUUGUUAGCCACCUCACAAGCUCUCUCCAUCAUCUCGAAAGGACCAAUAUACCGAGGGCUCAACUUUCUCUUCUUCCCAAAUUUCAUCAUGUCCUUCAUAGGUGAAGCUAGAAGAAGAACCUUAUCACCCUCCAUAAAAGCCACAUCAUGAGCAUUCCUAUCAACAUAACUCUUAUGUCUGGACUGUCUUGUACGAAGCCGUUCCUGGCUCAAUUUCACCUUCUCCAAAUCAUCACAAACCAAAUAUGUGCCCAAACGUUUAACCUCACCUUGCUCAAACCAAUCAAUCAGAGAAUGACAUUGUUGACGAUCAAUUGUUUCCCUCCCUUUUUAAUUGAUUUAUCACGCUUCUUGAUCAACAAUGACAUAAUAAAGUAUAAUUUUAUAAAUUAAUAUUCAAAUUACAUAUUUUUCUAAAACAUAAAUAGUAAAAAUAGUUAUUAACAGUAAUAAUAACCUAUAACUAUUGUAGUAAUUUAACCUCAAGAAUUACGGUUAUGUCACCACUAUUUUUAAGUUAAUUAACCAAUCGACCCUUUAUUUAAUUUUAAUGUAGCCAUAAGACAGUAACUAUUUUUGAAAAUAUAAAAUUAGCUUAUAAAUACGUAUAUAGCAAUUCACUAAUAAUAUUUUAGUAUAUAUUAUUGGGAUUAAAUAAGCUGAAUUAAUUUAAUUAUGAAAAAAGGAGUUAAAAAUUUCAAUAGGCUAUGCUUUCAAUUACUAAUUUUCAAUGAAGGUGGCUAUGUGUGCAAUUGUUAUUCUUUCACCAAAACCAACUCCAUAGGGCCCAAAGAAUUAGCCGAAGACGUUUUGACCCGUCUGGGCUCAAGUCCAACCAGCUCUACCAUCUACUUGGCAAUACAUGCAUUUUCGUUUACACCAAUCACUACGCACCAUGUCAGCCUCUCAAACAUACUCACAAAACAAACACAUUCAUCAGUGGUCGUUGAUCCAAUUUAUGAACGACCUGGAUUAGUCGUUUUUUUCUUUUUUUAAUUAAUUUCGUCAAACAUUAAUCCCGACCGUUGGAUCGAACAACUCCUAUUUACCCAUAAUCAUUUUUUCUCUUAUUUUGUCUGAAUAUUCUUGAGUUGUCGAUCAAACCUAUCCGACAGUCCAAAUUCGUUCAACCUCUUUAAACAUAUCUAAAACUCAAAUCCUAAUUCAUUUUCAACCCACAGCAUCCGUCUCUCUUUCCCUUUUCUGUCAUUUCUAUCACCACUGUUACCAAUUUGAAACGCAUCACAACGCGACUGUCGUUCCACCUCUUCAUCUGUCACUUCCCCCAAAUUAAAUCAAGGACGAGAAUCUCGCUGAUACUUUUCCCCGUCCUCUCAUCUCCGCCCCCUGACCCGUCUCUGAAACAGUAACCCUAAAAAUGAAAAUUCAAAAAUCAAUCAUCAUCACACCCUUAAAAGAUCCAAAAACACAUCGUCACCUAAAUUCUCUCACUAAAUCUCCCUUAAAGUUUCGCAUGCAUCUCUGAAUCAAACUGGAGACACGAGAUUCAGAGGAAUCUAUGAUUUUAUGCUUGUCCUGCAUGAUCCGUUGGUUAAAGCUUCAACCCAGUGGUGUAUUUUCAUAACCAUGGGCAAAACUAGGGGUUUUGAGACCGCAAUGGCUUCCUUCUCAUCACCAAACAUCGAAGGUGAAUCUUUUCCUCUUUUACCUUCUUCAUCAGUAUUCAAACUUCGAAUAUUCUGAAUUUCAAAUUCAAAAGCAACCCUAAAACUUUGGAUAUAAAUACCAGGCUUUAAUGCCUUCAACAACCACGGGUUAAUAUGUUAUUGAAUACAUAGAGUCAACUGUUAAAAACAUUUUCGACUUUGAGUCGCAUUGCUUUCCUUUUUCUUUUCUUCUGUUCUUGCUGAGUUUUCUCUUUGAGUUUGAUUCUGGAGAUAACCCUUUGACGACUCGACUCAACGCCUUGGUUUGCUGCCUCAGAGAAGGUUAGUAUUCGUUUACUUCUGUUCGCUCCAGUUUAUUUAAAGUUGUAAGCAUGUUAUAUUGAAUAUGUGUUAAUAACUUCCACGUUUGGCAUAUAUAGUAUUUGUUUGAAUGUUUCAUCUAGAGGUUCAUGAAAAUUCAUAUGGAUAGUUAUGAUUUAAGUCGAAAUCUAUCUGUAAAUAUUUGUUGUGAAGUUUGGUUCUUUAGCAUAUUAGAAAAUCAUGUCUUAAGUUUUCAGGUUGAUGUACUCGCUAAACUCUGCUGAUAUGAAUACUUAUUUCUCGACCAUGACUGAAUUUUGUUUGUAAAUUCAGUAAUUAUUCUUCUAUCUUCUCACACGAAAGCAUAUGUUCAAAAUGUUACCUCUUGUCAUCAUAAAACUGUGACACCUUCGUGUGAAUAUAAAUCAUGUUAUAUGAUCAUCAUUUGCUUUAGUUUAAAUGUAUUGAUAGGGAAUUGGACAUUCUAAAUCUUUUUUUGGGAGGCUUACUUGUCUACUGUGAGCAUGACUCUCCAUGAGUAAAGCAUGAAACCUAUUCCAUAACCUAAAGGAUUAUGAUUAUAGGAUUUACUGUUGGUAUGCUCUAUGGGCUUUGAACAUGAAUUGGAUUAGAUUACCAUGUCUUGAUUAAUGUAUUGAUCACCACAUUUAUAUAACUGUCGUAACCUUGUAUAAGUCUUGUUUGGUUCAUGGUUUCAUAAUUUAGAUUCAUUGAUUUUGCAAACGUUAUAAUUAUGUGAACAGAAUCAUGUUCAGAGGAUGUUAUAUGAGACAUGCUAUUGUAAUAUUGUUUUGAUUCAUUUACUUGGCAUGAGUGGGAUUUUAUGUAUUCUUGUAAUGACUUGGCCGAUCGUUUUGAGUAUUUUAGUCGAGUUUCCCCUAUUUGAUGUUUUAUAUAUAUGCAAUUGAGGUUUCAUGACUCGCAUGGUUGGUUGGUUGGGCUUCAGGGAAGUUUUGAAUUGAAUUGAGACACUUAAUCUCAAGGUUGGGUGCUUAAAUUGUAAGAGUUGACUAGAGUUUGACUUUUGUAUAGAAGACCUCAGAAUGGUAUUUAGACUGUUUUAAUAGGUUCGUAUGGUGAUUAUGGAUUUAGGCGUAUGUCCGAAUAUGGAUUUGGAGCCAUGUAGGUUGGUUUGGACCUAUUUGGCAAAAGUUGGAAAGUUGACGGUUUAGAAAGUUCAUAGGUAUGACCGGGAGUUGACUUUGGUGAUAUCGGGUUUAGAUUGUGGUUCCGAGAGUUAGAAUAAGCCCGUUUUGUUAUUUGGGACUUGUCUGCAAAAUUUGAAGUAAAUCCGAGUUGAUUUGAUGUGGUUCAACAUGCGUUUUUGAAGUUGGAAGUUCAUUAGUUUCCUUAUGCUUGAAUUGGGGUGCGAUUAAUGGUUUCGAUGUUGUUUUGUGUGAUUUGAGGCCUUGAGUAAGUUAGUGUUAUAUGUUGGGAUUGGUUUGUGUGGUUAGGCUACUAUGAGACUAGUUUGGUUUCAUGCCUCAUUAUAUCCGUGUUUUCUCUAAUUAAAUGAUAUUUUGAGCUAUGAUUUAUGGUAGAAAUCAUGUCUAAGCUAUGUGCUUAAUUGUUUGAGACAUAAUAAAGCUAUUCUUGCUUUUUUGAGUUGUUUGCCUUUAUUGUAGACCUAUUCUUAGUCAUAAUUCUUAAUCCGUAUGUUAUCUCUUAGUCUCUGUACGCUAUUUGUAUGUCAUAUCACAUGUUGUUGAUGCCUUCAGAUGUGGUACUGUUUGGGCUGAGUUCUAUAAGAUGUGAGCCAUUGAGACUUGAACGGUUGAUGACUGAUGUGGGCCCUAAAGCCGUAUUGUGAUUUUAUAUUGGAUAGGGUUUCAUACCAUAACAGAUUGAUAUUUGGAUCGGGUUGCACGCCGCAACAGUUAUAUUGAUUGAUGAUUAGUGCUUGGGCAGGGAUCCGCUCCUCUGGUGUCUGAUGUUAUAGUGAGCGCAAGCACAAUGUUAUAUAUGUACUUUGGUGAGGGUAUUGUGGAAGGAACCCGUACAGUGCUGAGUGUGGAUGUGUGUGUGAUAGUGAAUGGCACUUGUGCCAGGCACCAUGAGUGUGCUGAGAGUGAGUAUACUUGAUGAUUUCAUUGUGAUGUUAUUGAUUUGAUAUGUAUAUUUGACAUGUAGGAAUAGAGAUGUAUUUUCCUUAUGCUAGUUGGUAAAUGAAAUAACUUAUCUGUUGUUGAAAGUUUGGAAAAUCACAAUUUCCUUGAUAAACUUACAUUUUAGAAAUUUCGGUGAAAGAUUGGGGUUGACUGUUAUACUUGGAAAGCAUGUCUAAUUUUCCGUAAUUAUGAACGAGCUGAACAUGAUAUCUUUUGAGUUAUUUACUUGUACUGUCUUCAUUAUAUUAUGAGUUAUUGAUUAUUGGUGUUGGAUACUAAUUUUCUUCCAAGCUCGUCACUGCUUUUACCUCGAGGUUAGGUUUGUUACUUAUUGAGUACAUGGGGUCGGUUGUACUCAUACUACAUUUUGUAUUUUAUAUGCAAAUCUAGGUACUUUCGGGUGUGGUGAUUGCUAGAUUUCGCACCGGUACCAGCUUAUGGAGACUACUAGGUAAAUGCUAUGUCGUUUGAAGACCUUGAAGUUCUCUUUCUUUAUUUCUCUUAUCACUAUUCUAUUAUUCAAACAACUUGUAUUGAGGAUUUGGUCAUGUAUUUUGAGAUUCUGUAGUGCUCAUGUACUCAUUGAAACCAUAUCAUCGGGAUGGUUGUAGUUGCGAUAUUGUUGCUUUUUUCAGAUAUGUAUGAUUAUUUUGUUGUUGAGAUUAUUAAGUUAUGUUAUUUGAGUUUUAUUAUUAUUGUGAAAUUGUUAUCUUUCCUAGAAAGCAAUGUUAGGUGUCGUCGCGACUGCGGUGAUAGUUUAGGUCGUGAAAAGUUGGUAUCAGAGCACUAGGUUGUCUAGGUCUUACGAGUUAUGAGUAAGUUUAAUAGAGUCUGUAAAUCGGUAGAGAGACGUCUGUACUUAUAUUCAAGAGGCUACCGAACUAUUUGGAAACUUUACUUUCUUGCAUUCUUAUUGUGUGGAUUUGUUAAUUUCGAAGUCCGAACUUUUACUUUUCUUUUCUCUCAUAGAUGGUGAGGUCUCUACUUCUCAGGAUAGGGGUAAGGUCUGCGUACUCACUGUCCUCCCC